CCUACGGGAGGCAGCAGUGGGGGAUAUUGCACAAUGGGGGCAACCCUGAUGCAGCGACGCCGCGUGGGUGAAGGAGGGUUUCGGCUCGUAAAGCCCUAUCGGCAGGGAAGAAAAAGACGGUACCUGACCAAGAAGCCCCCGGUAAAUUCGUUCCAGCAGCCGCGGGAAAACGUAGGGGGCAAGCGUUUUCCGGAUGUACUGGGUGUAAAGGGGGCGGAGACGGGAAUGCAAGCUAGUAGUGAAAGCCCUCGGCACAACCCCGGGACUGCACGUAAAACUGAAUGGCUUGAGUACAGUAGGGGCAUGUGGAAUUCCUAGUGGAGCGGUGAAAUGCGUAGAUAUUAGGAGGAACACCAGUGGCGAAGGCGGCUUGCUGGACUGUAACUGACGUUGAGGCACGAAGGUGUGGGGAGCAAACAGGAUUAGAUACCCCUGUAGUC
rnacentral:rRNA from 1 species